GGCAGCCGGGCCCGGCGCCCCUCUGGAUGGCGGGAUGGGCUGGAGCAGGAACCGCAGGGACGAGCCGACCCCAGAGCAGCAAACGAAACGUAUCAGAAACUCCAGAGCUGUAGCAGGAGCUGCGGGUGUCCCGGCAGGCAGGGGAGGUGGGACAAUGAAAUAUCAGAACUUCUUUUCUUCUACAUCUUCACUACAAAUGGAUGAUGCAGGAAGUGAAAACCUUAUUCCAAGUCACCAGAUGAGGAACUUCAGUGACUCAAGUUACACUUAAUUAAAAGAGGUUCAUCCUUAAACCAGUGUUGUAAAUGCUUGUCCGUGUAUUACCUGCCUGCCCUUCAAUAAACCAUUCAUGCUGAA